rnacentral:sRNA from 1 species
CUGGCCACUUAAACUAUACAGUUCUCUGGCUCCCAUCACGCUACAAGCUACUUUACAUCUACAUUGGGGUCUUGGUCUUUGUGGCUGUCUUACUGAUCAUAGAAUUUAUAUUUUGGCCCUUGUCUACAAAAGAUCUGCACAGAUGACAUACAAAACACAGCUAGUUGACUCCUGGGUGAAUUUCAUUCGAAUAAAUUACUGGACCGAGACAAUUUCGUAUGAAGUAACUGGACUGGAACAAGCUAAUUGUAUCAUAAGUCUACUCAACAUUAUUACUUAGUAGCCAUGCUAUUCUAAUCUAUUGGCUUGUCAAUGUAAAUUUAACAGCAAAAUCAAUGUGACAUGAAACUCAGAUUCUUCACAGGGAAAUCACUCCAGAGUUCUUUUUGUCUGAGUGUGUGAUAUUGAAUUGUUGUUUUUUUUUUAGUUUGGUGAGAGUUUAAUUUGAGCUUCCACAAUGAAAGGGAAAGUUGAUUGCUAGGUACAAACUUGAUCUUAGAGCUAGGUAGGCCUACAAAAACUUGAUCUUAGAGCUAGGUAGGCCUACACAAACUUGAUCUUAGAGCUAGGUAGGCCUACACAAACUUGAUCUUAGAGCUAGGUACAAACUUGAUCUUAGAGCUAGGUAGGCCUACAAAAACUUGAUCUUAGAGCUAGGUAGGCCUACAAAAACUUGAUCUUAGAGCUAGGUACAAACUUGAUCUUAGAGCUAGGUGAGUACCAGCAUACAAAUAUUCUACAAGCCAUUUGGACACAUUACUGAGACCUUUGCUGCCAAACUGAAGGUCCAAAUCUCAAAUCUAGAUGAAAGAUUGAUUUUUAGAAUGUCCCAUCUCUAAGGGGUGCAUGGUGUUAGUUGUGAAAAAUAUUUUGGUCAUUGUGCUGGUCACAUGACACUGGUAUUUACAUAUGUUGUUAUAAGCAUUUAAAUAAUCUAUAAACCAAGUAACAUAUCCAUUUUAUUUAAAAAUUAUAGAAUCAUUUUAUAACGUUCAUCCAUGCUCUCCACUGACAGUCACAGUACCGGUACUGGCAUGUAUGGAUGCUUGGAAGUAAAUAAAAUAUACCAAAUUUUA